UACGUAAGGGGCGAGCGUUGUCCGAAUUUACUGGGCGUAAAGCGCGCGUAGGCGGCUAUUUAAGUCUGAGGUGAAAGGUUCAGCGCUCAACGUGAACAGUGCCUUGGAUACUGGAUGGCUUGAGUGUGGCAGAGGAGUAUGGAAUUCCGGUGUAGCGGUGAAAUGCGUAGAUAUCGGAAGGAACAUCAGUGGCGAAAGCGACUUCCUGGACCAAUACUGACGCUCAUGUGCGAAAGCGUGGGGAGCAAACAGG
rnacentral:rRNA from 1 species